CUACAGUCAGCUAUUGGAUAGA
rnacentral:misc_RNA from 1 species